GUCACAAAGUUUCCGGUCAUUACCCUAUUUUCCUUCAAAUACCGGUUGGUAUUAGCCAGCUUCAAAAAGAGAAACAAAGACGAAAAAAACUUGGUUACCUUGCCACAUUUGAUAAUAAUAAUAUGUUCAAACUUUGUAAAGAAGGAAGAAAUAUCCGGAAAUAAGCAAGAGAGAAACACGAAUUUUUUGCGAAUUUGAGAGAAACCAUCGAAUACGUAGAUAUUAUUCAUAUUUUGUGAAGCGAAAGAUAAACAUUCGAAUGAUAAACAAUCAAAACCGUAUUUGGGACGCCAAUGAUUAGGAUUUUAAUCGAUUAAAUGCAGGCUUGUGAGGCACACUCGCGAUCCGCGGACCACCACUACAAAUGAAAAAAUAAGAAUAAAAAAAAGAAAAACAACCACGGUCUCUUAGCCGUACUAUUUAGUUGUAUUUUAGAAGGCAACGGAGGCUAAGGGGGAGACUCGCGAACAUAAAAUAAAUACUAGAAAAAAAUUAAAAAAAUAUCUCUUUUGCUUCUUUUUGCGCCUGGGUGAAAGUUCUCGGGCAUCAUCAUCGUAACUAACUAUUAAAUCCUGAAAAAGGUUGUGAUUUCAAAUGUGCAUCAAGUUGUGUGUAUUAUAAUUAUAGUUUAAGACGCUCAUGUGAAAAACAAAACCAACGAAAGAUCUCUCCUUAAUAAGAGUAUCCGUCACAGAACCUCCUUUUAAAAUUCACCCAGUUGCAUAACUAAUUACAUCUGACAUUAUCAAGAAUGUACACAGUUACCGGCUCAUUUUACGAGUUUGCCAAGGAUGGAAUACUUUCCCUCAUUUGGUCUAAUUUAUUCAAGCCUGGACUUAAAAAUUUGUCACAACGAUCACGAUUUGCACCCAUGAUCAUAGAUCCAGCUGCUCCCAUUCAACGUCAACCUAUGAUGAGACAAAGAAAUCGCUCUGAAUCUCCACCCAGGCGACGAGCAGCUCUUCGAAGACAUCGUGGAUAAUUUUUUUAAUUAAUUAAUUGUACCUUGUACUCUUCAUCGUCAUCAUUAUCAACUUCUUUUUACUACUAUCAUCAUCAUUAUCAUGUUUACCAAAAUGCAUAUAUUUGAUACACUAUACAUCAUUUUUGUUUUGUUUUAAUAUUUAUAUACUGCUUUUUUUUUUGAGAAAAAAAUCAUUUAUUCAAUUAUUAGAGAUUUUGAUUAUUAUAACUAUUUUUAUAUUAUUAUCUAUGUGCGUGUAUGUACCAUGGGAAAAAUUAAGAAAUCAUUUUUUAUAAAAACCCUCGUCUUUCUUUCAUAACUUCCCAACAGUUCUCAUUAAUUAUAAUUAUUAUUAUUAUUAUCAUUAUUUUUGUAUUAAUAUGAGUGUGAUAUUGGAAUUAUAAAUAUUAGUAUUUAUAUAUUUAAAUUUAAAAAAAAAAUACGGAAAUAUACUGAAAAAUAGCAAGUUACGAAUCUUA
rnacentral:lncRNA from 1 species